rnacentral:lncRNA from 1 species
UUGGAGUAACCUUCUUUACCUUCAAAAAUGAUACUGCUGGUGGUAACUACAUGUAGGAACUAUUAAAGUGUCUUCCCAUAAAGUAGAUAUUGGGAAACUGAUACCAGUAUACUGGAAUUUCUUAUCGAGUGAAAAGUUCCUGUUUUUCACUUGAGAAGAUGUUAGAGGUGAGGUAAUAGAUUUCUGAGGUAUUCACUUCAUCAGCAGCAUCAGUAUUCCCAAGCAAGGGGGAAAAGGACCUCACCUGAACUUCUGUCAGUGUUUGCAUUAGACCAGAGUGCACACUUAGCUCUACCUGUGUGCGGCCCCAGCUUCAGUGUGUUUCUAUUUCCAGAGGAGGAGAAGAGUAGUAAAAUCUCGGGGGGGUUGUAGUGGUGUUAUCAAGAACUCUUUGUCCUAUGGAAUAUUGUUGCUUUCAGUCCUCUUGAAAGCAGGAAUGAUGUGACUCCAUGGAAAUAAGUAUUGUCUGUGUUAAGAGCAGUACUUCCACGGGUUUAUGCCACUUUGAUUAAAAGCCUUUACAUAGAUAUCUAUUGUGUAGAGAAGUAGUAGUUGCUGUUUCUUUUUUGGUGGCUUCAUAUGUUUUGUAAUUGGCUGAGUGUUCCUUAAAAUAACCUGAUUGGUACAAUGUACUAACAGAAGCUUACUAAGCGCAUGCUAUUUUAUAUCUCAUUUUUACCUCCCCAAAUUCCAGUUACUAUCUUCACUUUGUGAAGAACAAUCUCAGAGGAGAAUUCGCUCAGUGUCACAUUAUCUACUAACUGUUCGAGCUUUUAAUGCUAAGGCGAUUGAGGAACAGUGAUGGCAUUCAGCUACAAUUGUUUCUUUCUUAAUUGGGCACUUCCUUUCCCUGACAGAGACAGAAUAGGCAUGCAAAAUACUCUCAUGGCAUUGCAAAAUAAAAAGAUUAAAGAACAUCUCUAUUCUAAUAUCUUGGUAUAACUUGCAUAAAUUAUCUUUUGGGGAUGAAAAAGUUGACCAGUUCUGUGUGUUCUCAAAGCAGAAUUGUCUAAUGACCAGGAAAGUCCCUGGCCUCCUGAAGCAAGGUUGACCAAUGAUCUCUGACUCGUUCCACCACUCAGCCGUUCUUACUGUUUGUGAACAGAUAGGUACAAUACUCUUUCUAAGUGUAGUAAACCGUUGAAUUUGGUUAUCUCCCAAAAGAAAGAGAAAGGGGCUAGGGCCUGAAUGGUUCAGUGACACAUGGGACCGACCAGUAAGUAGUGACACCUAGCCUGAUACUGUCAAGGGCCCAUGGCUGCCAGGUGUGGCUACUCCCACCCAGCAGUUGCAAGUUUAUGUGAGGUAUUUAUGAAGUUUAAUUUCCAACUCUGUGGCUUCUCUAUCUUGUAUUAACUUAUAUAUUGUGAGAUAAUACUGCUCCAUUUCACUUUUGUCCAGAUUAAGAUGACUGACAAACUGAGGUAGUUCCAAUUCAUCUCAGCCCAUUGGGUCCCAGGAUGAUAUGCUUGACUGUUGUAAAUUCUGCACAAAUGUCAUAUAUUCUGUAACAGCAUCAGUAAAGUGGUGGUAUUAAUAUUCAUGACCUUGCGGGCUAUCCUUCAAAGGGGUAUGGACGGUAACAUGGUUUAGUUAAGCCGGUAGUCAUACUUUCUCAGCCCAGAAUUAUAUAGAUAUUUACUCCUGAUAGAACAAUUGGUGUAGUGUGGCUACCUUAUACACUGAUGUGCAUUUUACUUUUUGCACUUUUUGCACAACUUUAUGUUGUGGAGAGAUUUCAGGGUAAGUACACAUCAUUCUUUUGAAUGGCUUUGUUGUAUAGCUUAGUUAAAUCUCCCAUUAAUGGACAUUUAGAUGAUUCUCAUAUUUUACAUUAUUACACUAUUGUAGCAUACUUUUUUAUGUCUUUAUUUCUCAUUUCUCUAGAAGGAUUUAAUAGAAAUGGAUUUGCUCAAAUAAUAUACCUUGAAAAUGUAAAAGAUAAAGCCAAAUUGAUUUCUAAGCUUUAUGGUAACUUACACUUCUGACAGUAAGGUGAAUGCUGGUUUUCCUAUACCCUAGCCAAUACUGCAGAGCAGUGGUCGCCAACCUUUUUGGCAUCAGGGACCAGUUUUGUGGCAGACAGUUUUUCCAUGGACCUGGGGUUUGGGGGGUGGUUUCAGGAUGAAACUGUUCCACCUCAGAUCAUCAAGCAUUAGUUAGAUUAGGUGCACAAUAGGGUUCGAGUUCCUAUGAGAAUCUAAUGUGGCUGCUGAUCUGACAGGAGGUGGAGCUCAGGUGGUAUUGCUCGCUUGCCUGCUGCUCACCUUCUGCUGUGUGGCUUGGUUCUUAACAGACCACCAUUACUGGUCCGUGGCCUGGGGGUUGGGGACCCCUCUGUGGAGGAUAUCAUCACUCCUAGUCUAUGUUCAUUAUUGAGGGGUUAUCAUUUACUGCCUUUUGGUAAUUUGUAUUUUUCCUGUGAAUUACCUGUUCGUGUUCUUUAUUCAUUUUUCUGAAGGGCAUUGAUCUUUUUAUGUACUGAUUCACGAGGACUUAAGCCUAUGAUGCAGUUGUUUUCCCAGUCUUGGGAGCUGGCAGAUGCCAUUACCCAGGUCAGGAGAUAGAACCUUGCCAGCUAUACCCUGAAGCUGUUCAAGUCUUUCUCCCAAUUACAGUCUUCAUAAGAGUUGUUAGAAGGACUGAAUGAGAUGAAGUAGAGGAAAGUCUUCUAGGACAGGGGUCCUCAACCCUUGGGCCACAGACUGGUGGCAGGAGGGCUGCACAGCAGGUGAGCAGUGGGUGAGUGAGCAAAGCUUCCUCUGUUCACAGCCUCUCACCGUCACUCACACUACCACCUGAGCUCUGCCUCCUGUCAGAUCAGCAGCAGCAUUAGAUUCUCACGUGAGUGUGAACCCUAUUGUGAACUGCAUAUGCGAGGGAUCUAGGUUGCAUGUUCCUUAUGAGAAUCUAAUGCCUGAUGAUCUGUCAUUGUCUCCCAUCACCCCCAGAUGGGAUGCCUGGUUGCAAGAAAACAAGCUCAGGGCUCCCACAGAUUCUACGUGAUGCAGUUUUCACAGAUUUGUGGCCAGAUGCUAGAGACAAAGGCUGAGAAGUUGUCCAGGACGUCAUAUUCUUGCUUUGCUGGAGGCAGAUCUGAAGGAUGUCAUCUCUCCUGUGGCUUCUUCUAGUGUGGGGUCCCGAAGCCUGGCUUCCCCAGCCGAUGUGCUGCUUUAGUCAGCGUCUGCCCUGGUCCUUCGGUUCGCAGGCUCACACGCUUUUUUGGGUUGUGUCCCUUUGGACUGCAGAGGCUACGUGUCCUGUGACCAACCACGAAGGCGGCCACUCCCGCUCCCCUCAGGAGUGUCUUAAAAUACCUCCAUUUUAGCUACCCUAUUGAAUGACAGGUUAGCUGGGUGCUGGGUUUUCAGGUGAUGGACAUUUUCCCUCAGUCCUCUGAAGGUGUUGCUGGCUUCAGGCAUUGAUGCCGCCACUCUGAUUGUUGUAUGCAGUGAGCAAACUAGAAUUUUCUCUUGGCUUUCUAGAUUUUCUUCUUUAUAUUCUGAAACUUUAUUAUAUCAAGGUUUGAAUUUUAUUUUUUUUGGAGACAGGGUCCUACUCUGUCAUCCAGGCUGGAGUGCAAUGGUGCAGUCCUGCUCACUGCAGCCUCCAAGUCCAGGGCUGAAGCGAUCCUUCUGCCUCAGCCUCCUAAGUAGCUGGGAUCACAGGUGUGCACCACUCUGCCUAACAAGGCUUGUUUUUUGUUUGUUUGUUUGUUUUAAAUAAAUACAUUCAGAUUGUUUUGCCCCUUGAUGAGUUUUUCAGUCUGCAUAGUCCUGUCAUUUUUUCACUUCUGGAAAAUUCUUAGUCAUGAUUUCUGCAAAUAUUUCCUCUCAUUCUGUUUUUUCCUUCUGGAACUCUUUCAUUACCUUUUUGUAGUCAUCUCUUUAUUUCCCUAUACUGCAUUUUUUAAUGGUUUCUUCUGUUCUGUUUUUACAAAUUCUAUCUAUCUUCACAUGGAUUUAGUCUAUUUUUUACUUUUACUCAUUAAUUUAAAAAUACAUUUAACUCCAUUUUCACUAAUGAGGGUGUAUGUGCAUUUAGUUUUUACUUUUAAAGAAGCAGGGUCUUGCUCUGCUGUUGAGGCUGGUAUUGAACUCCUGGGGCUCAAGCAGUGCAAGGAGCUGAGACUACAGGCAUGCGCUACCAC